ACAUUCCACAAGUGCAAUACCUGGGUUGUUCAUUACCACAAAACGAUCUCCUGUACAGUUAACAGAUAUUCAUGUGAGAGCUUGCACAGAGGUGAGGCUGUAUGACAGGUUAGUAAAGCAGAAUACCUAGAUACUUUUACACCACCCAGAAAAGCUUUGGAGACCUAGGCUUUAAAUUCUUAGUGGGAAUUUUUCCCCGUCUGGAUUUGUUUUGCCAGAUUUUUCUCGUUGCCUGCAUUCUCUCAGCUACUUCUGAUGAAGUUUAUGGAGGGAAAAAAAAAUUAAGAUCACUGCUCUUCAAGGAAAAGGCAAAUCCACACCUUCAGGACUCAGACCACAUAACGUGGAAUAUAUCACAGACAGUCCCUAUCAUUUUUUUAUUAUAAAGACAAUAUACUGAAAACUAUGACAGCUGUAGAGCAGAUGUACUAAUGUGACUUUUGCAACACAUCAUUUGUCAAAUACAGCUACCUCCGUGCCCACAUGAUGAGUUACCACCUCCCUUUCACAUAUGUUUGCACUACCUUAUUCAUUCACUUCAGGCCCUACGAUCAGAGACUCAAAAUGGUGCCUCAAAAAUAUGACUAGGCAAACUUAUUGUUUGAGGAAUCUACAUAUCAGAUUAUCACAUCAGUUCCAACCCUCAUGGACAGCUGUAUUACAGAUUAAACUAAGAAAGAAAACCUCAAGCAUUGGAAUCCAAAAUAAUAUUGAGCAUUCACAAGAACAGAAAAUGACUUCUAAAUAGUAUUUAUCUUGUUUUGAAAACUCUACUUGUGACUAAAUCAUAAAGUAUGUAGAAUUAUGGAACUCUAGUGCGGUAAAGUUACAACAGCAUUCAACAGUUUCUUUUUGUUUUUGAGUGUCUCAGUGGAAUCAAAGACAUUAAAAUUGUCAUUUUGUCUACACUA